rnacentral:lncRNA from 1 species
UCAUUACAAACUCCUUAAAUUAAAACACAUAAAUAAAGUAAAAUUUAUCUAACACAAAGUCCAAUUGAAAUACAUGAAUAUAAAUUUUAAGAAAAGAAUAAAGUAUGUUGCUUCCCCAAAUGCUAGUGCUAAUAACUUCACUCUUGAAUAAAUUUUCAUCUUUAUCUACCUAAAAAAAGAAAAAAAUUGUAAUUUUAGUACUUAUUUUUUUUAUCAAAUGAAUUAGAAAACAUAUAUUUUAAAUGUUAAUAAUAAAUUAAAUAUUAAUAAAACAAUAAAAAGAAAAAUAAGUAGUGAUUGCGAUACUUACUCCAAUUCUUCUUUGGCUACGACCACAAGAAUUCAGACCAAGAGAUAUAAAAUUCUGAGUAGUUAACCUCUCAAAAAUCAAAGAAGAGUAGAUAAGAAAUUUCAUACCAGUACCGGAAAAUUAAAAAUAAAUAGGAGCAUACUGAUACAUACAUGUCAUAUAGCACAUGGAGAAAUCCAAAUUUGUAAUGUCCUAAAUACAUAUUGAAAGUAAAGUAGAUUAUAUACCUUGUCUUAAGAUGUUUAUCAUCCUAGAUUUGAUCUUCUAUGGUAUUAAAUCAAUAAAUUGUUUUUUGGAGAAAACACACACGCGCGCGCACACACACACACAGAGAGAGAGAGAGAGAGAGGAUGAAAAUAUAGAAGAUUUUACUUAGGCAUGGGUUUGAUUGGGGUAUGAAGUGCAUAUAAUAAGAUAUGAGGAGGGAAAAUAGGGGAAAACUAAAUAUAGGUGGCAAUAAAAAGAGUGAUUUCGAAAAAAAAAGAGGGAAUCUUGCCGCUACUUUUUCCUGAAACUUUGAAAAAAAUAGAAACUUAGCCAUGUUUCCAGCAACUUUAUAACCCCACCAUGUGCUGUGAAUAAU